GCCCGGCUGGCUCAGUCGGUAGAGCAGGUGAUUUUUGAUCUCAGGGUCGUGGGUUUGAGCCCCAUGUUGGGCG